rnacentral:rRNA from 1 species
UGGGGAAUCUUGCACAAUGGGGGAAACCCUGAUGCAGCGACGCCGCGUGAGCGAUGAAGCCCUUCGGGGUGUAAAGCUCUUUCGGCAGGGACGAUUAUGACGGUACCUGCAGAAGCAGCUGCGGCUAACUACGUGCCAGCAGCCGCGGUAAUACGUAGGCAGCAAGCGUUGUUCGGAGUUACUGGGCGUAAAGGGUGUGUAGGCGGCCUGUUAAGUUCCGUGUGAAAUCUCCCGGCUCAACUGGGAGGGUGCGCGGAAAACUGGCGGGCUAGAGUGCGGGAUGGGAGAGUAGAAUUCCUGGUGUAGCGGUGAAAUGCGUAGAUAUCAGGAGGAAUACCGGUGGUGUAGACGGCUCUCUGGACCGUAACUGACGCUGAGACACGAAAGCGUGGGUAGCAAACAGGAUUAGAUACCCUGGUAGUCCACGCCCUAAACGAUGCAUAUUUGGUGUAGGUCAUUCAGUUGAUCUGUGCCGGAGCUAACGCGUUAAAUAUGCCGCCUGGGGAGUACAGUCGCAAGGCUG